AUGGCUCCAUCUGGCGCCUCGGGCCGGGCAGCUUCGCGGCGGUGCCGGCGGUGCGCUGCUGGACCCCAGCGGAGUUCGUGUGCCGCCUGCUGGGCUGGUCCUCCGGUGCCUACGCCAUCCAGCCGUGCGCAGCGUCCACGGAAAUCACCGGUGAACAAGUUGAAUGCCUGAUAGCUUACCAUCUACCCUCUGCAGUGUUUGCCUGGUCAUGCUGGAAAACUGUCUUUACAUUACCAACGAAUCCUUCAAGAGAAUUCCAUCUCUCUCGUGCAGAGAAAGAAUUGCUGGAGAGAGAGCCGAGAGGUGAAGCCAUCAGGAAGUUCUUAGGCGAGCGAGCAGCCAAAGGUCUUCCCGUCUACACCAGGACCGUGUCUGGAGCAAUCCGAUAUUGUGACAGAUGCCAACUUAAAAGCCAGAUCGCUGCCAUCACUGUUCUGUCUGUGAUAGAUGUAUAUCGAAGAUGGCUCAUCAUUGCCCGCGGAUGAACGAUUGUGUUGGAUUUUCGAAUUAUAAAUUCUUUCUCCUUUUCUUGGCUUAUCCUCUGCUCUACUGCCUUUUUAUUGCAGUUACAGAUUUACAGUAUUUUGUCAAAUUUUGGACAAAUGGCCUACCUGAUACUCACGCCAAGUUCCAUAUUAUGUUUUCAUUCCUUGCUGCAGCUAUGUUUUCUGUCAGCUUGACUUCUCUGUUUGGCUAUCAUUGUUGGCUAGUCAGCAAAAAUAAAUCUGCUUUAGAGGCAUUCAGAAGUCCAGCAUUUCAACAUGGAACAGAUAAGAACGGAUCAGGCUUGGGCUUCAGUAAAAAGAUGAGACAAGUAUUUGGUGAUGAGGAGAAGUACUGGUUGCUACCCAUUUUUUCAAGUUUAGAUGAUAGCUGCUCCUUUCCAACUUGCCUUGUUAACCAGGAUCCCGAGCAACUGUCUACUCCCGCAGUACUGAAUUCAGCAACUAAAAGUCCUGAAAACCAUCAAUUUCCUGCAAAGCCAUUGAGAGAGUCCCAGAGCCACCUUCUUACUGAUUCUCAGUCUUGGUCAGAGAACUGCACAAACUCGGGAAAAGGAAAAGCUGGUAUGAGCAAUCCUGCAUUAACCAUGGAGAAUGAGACAUAGCUCUUCCAGAAAAAUGAAUUCGUACAUUAUAAAAGUAUCAUUGCUGGAAUUGGACGGAAGUAGCUCCCCACAGGAAGGUGCCAUUGGCCAGUUGUCCUUAUAUCCCUUUGGCUGGAUACACAGAAUAUGGAUUAGUUCUCUCCAAUCCGUUGCUUAAAAGAUAAUACCUUAUGGAUCCAAUAUAUAACUUGUUACAACUAACACAAAUUCCUGUUAAAUAUUAAAAGUAGUUCCAGUUUGUUAAUCAACCUGGAAAAUAU